CUUAAAGCAUACGAGUUUUUGAAACGAAAAGAGCAAUAUCAACUCUGUUGAUAUUGCUCUUUUCGUUUUAUUUUGUAGUUAGUAGUCUUUUUUUUUUUACAGAUUUUUACAGAAAUUUUUGAUUUAUUUUAACAUUCUUUAUUUCAUCAUAAGAUAUUUUAAAAAUUGGAGUUUCAUAUUUUUCUUAUUUUGUAAUUUARAAUUGAUGUCUUUUUCUUAUCAAUUUGAUCUUUUUUUAAUCCAUAUGACUUCCGAAUGUAAAAAAAAAUGUUUUCUCCUUCUCUUAUUUUAUCUUARAAUAAAGUAAAAACUGAAAAGAGAAAAAUAAUGAAAGAGUUGAACUUGAAGUCAAACUCAUUUU
rnacentral:misc_RNA from 1 species